GCGAGGGGUGCGGCCAACAAGUAGCUGCUGAGAUCAUACCCAUUGAACCUGAUGCGGGUCAUGCCGACGAAGGGAACAG
rnacentral:ncRNA from 1 species